CAUGAGGGCUCUGCCCUAAUAAAUGAGAUUAGUGCUCUUGUAAAAGAGGGUUGGGUGAGCUUGUUUGCCCCUUCCGUCAUGCGAGGGCACGUAGAAGGCACCAUCUGAGAGGAACAGGCCCUUACCAGACACCAAGUCUGCUGGGGCCUCAAGCUUAGACUUCCCGGCCUCCAGAACUCAAAGGGAACAUCUGCAGACAUACCGAGUAUUACCGCAGGAGAGAGUGGCUUUUAUAAAGAAGUCCAGGUUCCUCAGUGCAGAAGUUAGCUCAGCUGGCUCAUUCAUCUCUAUGGAAAUUACAACACCCUCUCCAGUGUGACUGAGAUCUUGACAUACGUGUGCAGAUUCACUGGAAGGCAUCUUUCGUACACGGCUGUAUUCUCAUUCUGGAAUUCCAUGUUACUGAACAUUUAAAUUCAUUGACUUCAUUUCAUAGUCUGAAACUUCUCUUGAUUUGGUGCUUCAAAUAGUAGCAUCAAGGUGUCCGCAGUGCCUUCAGCUCUCCAUGUAAUGAUGUCUUCAUUGCCAGCACAUUUUGCUACUUCGGAUGUGAUGGUGAGGUUCACACCCACAGCCAGGUUGUGGUUGCCUCAGUGUGUUGUUGAAGCCCUAGGAGUGCAGCGUGCACUGCCACCAAGGAGCCCUGGGACUGCUCCAUGCUCUGCACAGUCAGCCACUCAAGCUGCCUUCCCAGCAGGCCUUGCUGACAAGGUCCUUGAGAGCCUCCAGCACCUCCACUGGGCUGGACGCCUGGACCAAGCCAGCCUCAAACAUGGUGGCGGCAUCGCCAUGAAGUGGCUACAGUGGGAAGGAGGAAGGUCCAGUGGGAUGAGGCUCCCCUAGGAUCGGAGUGAGUGAGGAGAUGCAGCCACAAGAACCCGAGACCCAGGAAGAUGACCAGGGGGUGUGACGGCUGACUGUCAGUUUUCGUACUGAUUCCAUCGUGGACUGGUAACCAUGAAUGCUUGGACUGGCACUGGUCCAUUGUACAGAUGCCGACUAGUGGUCUAGGCUCUUGCUCUGAAACCAUUCCCACAUAUUUCUGGAAAGUGUUUCAUAUUUGGAG